GAAGCCCCUGAUGCUUUGCAUGGCAGUCAAGCCCUCCACUGUCUACAGGAACUGCCUUCCUGGCUGCAUCUUCUGUUUCUGGGGACACGCACCCACUGCCCCCUCGUCCUCAGCUUGCGCCCGAGUAUUUGCCCCCGGGUGGGCAUGGAUCCUCGUGCAACAUCGUAGCUCCCUUCUCUCGUCCCCUCUGCCUUGCUAAGUUACCCCAUGAGCCCCUGAGCUUGAGUCCACAUCUCCACCCUUAACCACACUCUCUUUAGGGUCCAACGCACCGCCCAUCCUUCACUGACUCAUCUUGGUGUCAGCGCUCGAGGUUUCUUUGAACACGUACAAGCCUUUCGGUUACUCUAGAGAAAGCCCGCUCUGACUGUUAGUGAGAACCGAGAAACCUCAAAGUUUUGAUAAGUCACAACAGGUGAAACACGAGGAGCAGGAGCUGUGUUUCUGUUUUACUCCAUCAGCCCCUGCUCCUGGGCUCGGUUCCAGUCCUUCGCCACUGGCUGGGGGAGGGGAGGCGGGUGGCUGGCGUGUGUACAUGCGCGAGCGCACGUGUGUAGGUGACUUCUCAUUCCAGGUACGUGGAAGAUGGUGGAUGAGCAGGGAUCUCGUAGGACCAGAAGGGGCCGUUUUCAAGAACGGGAACUUAGGGGAACUCUGGUGUGUGGCAGAGGGCGCCCGGUCAGCGACCGCUUGGCCGUUGGGGAUCUCUCGAGUUGAGUGAUACAGCAAGGACAUCCCUUUUUCCUGGACCAGCGGUUGCCCUCCUUCCCCUCAUCAAAGCCCGGAGGCUCACUCACCCAGGUCCAUGACACGCUUGGGACGGCUGAAACCACACAGGAAGGCUGCGCCGGGCCUCGCACUCCCCCUGUCUGGGGAGGAAGUGGUAUGAGCCCCUUUUAAGUUGUGAGAGGAGCCACC